rnacentral:rRNA from 1 species
AGUGAACGCUGGCGGUAGGCCUAACACAUGCAAGUCGAACGGCAGCACAGUAAGCGCUCGCUCUUACGGGUGCCGAGUGGCGGAUGGGUGAGGAAUACAUCGGCAUCUACUUUUUCUUGGUGGACAACGUAGGGAAACAUACGCUAAUACCGCAUCCGACCUACGGGUGAAAGCAGGGGAUCUUCGGACCUUGGGCGAUUGAAUGAGCCGAUGUCGGAUUAGCUAGUUGGCGGGGUAAAGGCCCACCAAGGCGACGAUCCGUAGCUGGUCUGAGAGGAUGAUCAGCCACACUGGAACUGAGACACGGUCCAGACUCCUACGGGAGGCAGCAGUGGGGAAUAUUGGACAAUGGGCGCAAGCCUGAUCCAGCCAUACCGCGUGGGUGAAGAAGGCCUUCGGGUUGUAAAGCCCUUUUGUUAGGAAAGAAAAGCAGCGGGUUAAUACCCCGCUGUUCUGACGGUACCCAAAGAAUAAGCACCGGCUAACUUCGUG